rnacentral:ncRNA from 1 species
CUCUUAUUAGGAGCAGGCGGAGGGAAUUAGCCCUAUGAAGCCCGGCAACCAUCGGCGAAACAUGAAAAGUUUUGACCGAAACGGUGCUAAAUCUAACAGCAUUCUUUGCUGAGAGAUGAGAG